rnacentral:lncRNA from 1 species
GGAUAUACUAGUAGAGGAAAGAGAGGAGGAGUGAGAUUACUAGUAGAGGGAAAGAGAGAGAGGAGUGAGAAAUAUACUAGUAGAGGGAAAGAGAGAGGAGUGAGAUAUACUAGAAGAGGAAAGAGAGAGAGGAGUGCGAUAUACUAGUAGAGGAAAAGAGAGAGAGAGUGAGAUAUUACUAGUAGAGAGAAAGAGAGAGAGGAUGAGAUAUACUAGUAGAGGGAAAGAGAAGAGGAGUGAGAUAUACUAGUAGAGGGAAGAAGAGAGAGGAGGAAGUACUAGUGAGAUAUACUAGUAAGAGGGAAAGAGAGAGGAGUGAGAUAUACUAGUAAAGGGAACGAGAGAGAGGGAGUGAGAUAUACUAGUAGAGGGAAAGAGAGAGAAGGAGUGAGAUAUACUAGUACGAGGGAAAGAAGAGAGAGGAUUGAGUAUACUCAGUUAUAGGAAAGAGAGAGGAGAUGUAUACUAUUAG